UCUCUCUAUAUAUAUAUAUAUCUCUCUCUAAAUUCAUGGUAUCAAGAAUAACUACGUACUGAUACUAAUUAAGCUAUACCUUUCAGGUGUUUUAUGAAAUGCCCUCCGUCCGGAAAUACUUGUCAUCAAAAUGAAUAAAAGGAGAUCACAAUGUUGGACACGACCACCUAAGAAUUGAAUAUUUUUAGUUGGAAUACUAUUUUAAUGAUCAAUCACAAUGUUGGACGCGACUACCUACUUAUUCCCGAGACUUUAAGUCUUUGGUGGCUUAAGCACAAUAUGCCCGGCAUAUGUUCUACAUCUGCGGCAUGUAAUGACCCUACUGGCAUUUCAAGAGGUCUGUAAAUACAACACUCUUCCAAAGUAUUUCCAAGAUUUACUAUAUUUUUGCAGCAGGCUACAUGCUUCUCUGAAUGACCGUUUAAGGAGUGAACAUGAAUUGCUGAUGUAUAUGUUCCAUGCUCCAUGGGGAGGGGAACAAGGAUUGAUUUUCGCCAGGAGUAGGGAGAGUAUGGUGAGUUACUUCUAUGCUUCAAGGGGCUUCCAGAACUACUUGAUUUUGAAACAAGUCACUAGGUACUGCUCAGAUGAAUUAUAUGGAUUGUACCACCGUCCGUCCAAGCUGUAGAAACUCCUAUCCCUGAAUUUCUAUUUAUUGGAACCAUUAGAUUUAUUAGUAUUUUAGUCAUUACAUUUCUACAGAGGCUAUGUGAAGCAAAGAAACUCCUAUCCCUUUUAAAUUUUAAUACAUGUAAAGUACUACAUGUCAGUAAGGAGCUGACACUCUUGGACGGUGA